rnacentral:rRNA from 1 species
AGUAGUUUGAUCCUGGCUCAGGAUGAACGCUAGCUACAGGCUUAACACAUGCAAGUCGGAGGGGCAGCAUGUCGGUUGCUUGCAACCGAUGAUGGCGACCGGCGCACGGGGUGAGUAACGCGUAUCCAACCUUCCCCAUAGUAGAGAAUAGCCCGGCGAAAGUCGGAUUAAUACUCUAUGUUGUAUUUUGAGGACAUCUGACGAAUACCAAAGAUUUAUCGCUAAGGGAUGGGGAUGCGUCUGAUUAGCUUGUUGGCGGGGUAACGGCCCACCAAGGCGACGAUCAGUAGGGGUUCUGAGAGGAAGGUCCCCCACAUUGGUACUGAGACACGGACCAAACUCC